rnacentral:rRNA from 1 species
UGCGUAGGCGGAAUAAUAAGUCAGUGGUGAAAUCUUUCGGCUCAACCGAGAAACUGCCAUUGAUACUGUUAGUCUUGAGUUCGGUUGAGGUAGGCGGAAUGUGUAAUGUAGCGGUGAAAUGCUUAGAUAUUACACAGAACACCAAUUGCGUAGGCAGCUUACUAGACCGACACUGACGCUGAGGCACGAAAGCGUGGGGAGCGAACAGGAUUAGAUACCCUGGUAGUCC